rnacentral:tRNA from 1 species
AUUUAGAUAGCUUAAAUUUAAAGCAAAGUAUUGAAGAUACUUGGAUAAGAAUUUUCUUUUUAAAUA